rnacentral:lncRNA from 1 species
AGGUCAAAACGUAAUUUAGGAAAAUUGCACCAUGUUAGCACCCACCUUAGCAGCCACGUCAGCGGCCCGGUCAGCAGCCCCGGCCAACCAGGACCCUUCACGUGGCAAGGCAACGCUGACCAGGGAACGGGCCACGUGGGCGAUCCGUGUGCGCGCGAUCGGACGACCCAGAUCCGUUCCCAUGCGCACGGACGACCCAGAUCAAACAUGCGCACGGACGGCCCAGAUUGCAUCGCGAU